GGGACUGAAUUGGUUUCGACAAUUAAGUUACUUUAUAGAGCAAGUCGGAUUUUAUUUCGAUCCGUACAAUCGAUAAAAAUAAUUGCUAUUAACAAUUUAUUUAAAACUCAAAAAAUUCUAGCAUUUGCAUAAAUUUUUUCUAUUAUUAAACUGUGCGUAAUUUUUAAUAAUUUCAUUUGCGUUGCACCUUAUUUUUUAAUAUGUGAGGUUAAGAUUUACCAUUUUUAUUUCGUUACUUUUGUAACUAAGCUUGUGAAUGAUUUAUAAAAAUUCUACAAUUGCACGUGAGUUCAAUUCUCACCAGUUCCACCA
rnacentral:tmRNA from 1 species